rnacentral:lncRNA from 1 species
CUAGAGUCAUGGAUUAUACCCUUGUUUUACCAUGAGAAGGAGCAAGCCUUCCUACGGUAAUCCUUCGGGAUAAGUCUCGUCUAGGAGGGACCUUAGUAACGACCUUUACAGGUUGAUAACAUAAGGUCACCCUAAGUUAAGAGGGUUCUAGAAGAGGUCCCCAGAGUCAUGGAUCAAAUUCAAAGUUUUAUCACGAAGAAG